AUGUCACAAAACAGGUGACAUCCGAAAGUCUUGCCAGAUACUAAGAUCGUGCUCAAGCAGAUGAGGAAGAAGGGCAUUCCCAGCAGAAGCAGCAGUUUGUAUGAAAGCAUGUGUCACGUUUGGCUGCAGGAGCAUGGUGGUCAGGGGGACUGGAGAAAGAGGAAGCUAGAGAGGUGGUCGGGGUAGACCACAAAGAGCAUUGAAGCCUCUGCCAGGCAAUUGGACUUUAUCCUGUUAGGACUGGGAAGCAGUGAAAAGGAUUUUAAGCAGAGGAAUUACAUGAACGGAUUUAUCCUUCAAAAAGGUCACCUUAGGAGAGGUGUGGAAGAGAGACUAGAGGGCUGAAAAUGGAGGCAGAGAAACCUCCUGGCCAGGUGGUGAGUGGCAGAAGUCCUGGUGGGAGUGGGUGGUGUUUAAACAAAGACCUGAAUUAAAACUGAAGGCAAGAGGAGGAGGGGAAAAAUCAAGAAAUGUUAAGAAAGUAGAAUGUGUAGAACUUGGUGAUUUGUUUGAAAGUGUUGGGAGUUGUUGUUAAAUGAUGGUCUCAGAGAUCAUGGAAUAUUUGUCUGGUUUAGCUAAAUAAAUGUUAAAACUAGAAGCCUGUUUCUCAAAUUGGGGUCGCUGUGUCCCCUUAGAGGUCUCAUGCAAACUCUGAGUUGUUUAUGCUGCCUUAUGAGCUGGAUGUAUCUUAGGUUUCAAACAAGUUAUGAUUGCAGCACUACUCAGGUCUUACAAUAAGCCAGACAAGCAAUUCUUUAUUAAAAAUCAUUUGCUACUCCUGCCACCCACCACCCCAAGAUCUUUUUCCUGGCCAUUAUGUGCCUUAUCUCUCUCUACUAGUCAUAAAAUUUGUUGGCCACCCACUGUGUAUUUAUCUCAUCUCCUACCUCUACCCAUCAUCUGCCUUAAAUGAUGUACAGUAGGAUUUGGGUUGAGGUGCUGCUCUGGAGUUAUGGCCUGCUGUUAGUAGUCUUGAUAGCUAAAACUAACAUGCUUUUUUCUUGUAAGAUUUCAGAUUGAAUAUAGUGGUUGAGAGCCGAUAUCAUCCCCUCCCUCCUCCUUUGAGCUCAACACACAUUAAUCAAAUACCACAAUUUUUCAGGUUCUGUAUUAGGCUCCAGGGAUACAAGGGUGAACAGACAAUUCCCAUCCUCAUGAAAUGUGCAAUUGUGUGGAAAUACAUGUGAACAAAUUCAAUCCACUGUGAUGGAAGCCCCAAUGGGAGUGUGUAGAAGGUCAGAAGAGGUACACAGAAAGGACAACAAGGAAGGCUUCACAGAGGUGGUGACAUCUCACUAGGAUUUUGAAGGGAAUAAGAAUGGGGAGAAUCAGAAGAUCAGCACGGUUUGCACAGAGGAACUACAGCAGAGGUGUUGUGGGGGGACAUGGUGGUAGAUGAAAUUGAAGAUGUAGGCAGGAGUUUGAUCAUGUAAGAGCUUGGCCUUUGUCGUGGGAACAUCAGGGGCCAUUGAGGGACUUCAGGUAACAGAAUGCCACAGAUCCACAAUUUUAGCAGGAUCACCCUAGUAUGAAAGACAAACUUGAAAAGGGUUUGCAGAUGCUGGCAGGUUCAUGUCACCACUGCGGAUUCAUUGAGGGCAGAGACAGAGUCCUAUUUAUCUCUGUACCCCUAAAGUUUAGUGCUUUAUAGACAUUUAAGAAUUUUUUUUUUCAGAGUGAAGACAGCCCAAGUUGAAUUUUCCCAUUCUGUAUCCUAUCCUCAGAACAUGCUGACCUGGACUUCCAUCUGUCACAAGCAGCUUGACUAAGAUCCUAGGAAAUUCCUUUUUUUCUUGGCAUUCUUCUAACUGACACUCUCUGUUUACUGGGCCCUCUGUGCAGCUGUAACGUGUGAUGAUUGAUGCUUAUAAUUCUGACCUUGAAGUACUUCAUGGCUUCUAAAUCAUCAAAAAAAGAUUAAAGCAUAUUCUCAGUAUCACUGUAAUGUUUGUGUGUUUUACUGCCUUCUUCUCUGGAAAGUGGUGGUUUAUGAAGUGCCCGUGCGCUUGUGUGCACACGGACACAGUGAGAGUCUGUGAU
rnacentral:lncRNA from 1 species